GGGAAGUUGGCUCAGUGGUAGAGUGCUUGCCUUGCAUGCAUGAGGCCCAGGGUUUGAUUCCUCA
rnacentral:tRNA from 1 species